rnacentral:rRNA from 1 species
CACAGGACUCUGCUAAAUCGAAGAUGAUGUAUAGGGUCUGACACCUGCCCGGUGCUGGAAGGUUAAGAAAGGAGGUCAGCGCAAGCGAAGCUUCCGAUUGAAGCCCAGUAACGGCGGCCGUAACAAUAACGGUCCUAAGGUAGCGAAAUUCCUUGUCGGGUAAGUUCCGACCUGCACGAAUGGUGUAACGAUCUGGGCACUGUCUCAGCCGCGAGCCCGGUGAAAUUGAAGUAUCGGUGAAGAUGCCGAUUACCCGCAACGGGACGGAAAGACCCCAUGCACCUUCACUACAACUUCGCAUUGAAUUUGAUUAAAUGAUGUGUAGGAUAGGUGGGAGACUUUGAAGUGGUGGCGCCAGCCAUCAUGGAGUCAACCUUGAAAUACCACCCCUUCCUUUGAUUAGAUUCUAACCUUAGAAUAAGGGACACU